UGGGGAAUAUUGCACAAUGGGCGAAAGCCUGAUGCAGCGACGCCGCGUGAGGGAUGACGGCCUUCGGGUUGUAAACCUCUUUCAGUAGGGACGAAGCGCAAGUGACGGUACCUGCAGAAGAAGCACCGGCUAACUACGUGCCAGCAGCCGCGGUAAUACGUAGGGUGCGAGCGUUGUCCGGAAUUACUGGGCGUAAAGAGCUCGUAGGCGGUUUGUCACGUCGUCUGUGAAAUCCUAGGGCUUAACCCUGGACGUGCAGGCGAUACGGGCUGACUUGAGUACUACAGGGGAGACUGGAAUUUCUGGUGUAGCGGUGGAAUGCACAGAUUUCAGGAAGAACACCGAUGGCGAAGGCAGGUCUCUGGGUAGUAACUGACGCUGAGGAGCGAAAGCAUGGGUAGCGAACAGG
rnacentral:rRNA from 1 species